AUUGAACGCUGGCGGCAGGCCUAACACAUGCAAGUCGAGCGAGCGGCGGACGGGUGAGCAAUGUAUGGGGACUGCCCGAUAGCGGGGGAUAACUACUGGAAACGGUGGCUAAUACCGCAUACUAUCGGAUAACCCAUAUGGGAUUAGCUAGUAGGUGGGGUAAAGGCUCACCUAGGCGACGAUCUCUAGCCGGUCUGAGAGGAUGAUCAGCCACACUAGGACUGAGGCACGCCCCAGACUCCUGCGGAGGCAGCAGUGGGGAAUAUUGCAGAAUUGGCGCAAGCCUGAUGCAGCCAUGCCGCGUGUAUGAAGGAGGCCUUAGGGUUGUAAAGUACUUUCAGCGGGGAGGCGUUACCCGCAGAAGAAGCGCCGGCUGACUCCGUGCCAGCAGCCGCGGUAGUUC
rnacentral:rRNA from 1 species